AUGCCCCGUACACGUCUGUCACACACUCAUCAAAACUGCAUAAUGAAUAUAAUAAAACACAGGAAAUAUUAAGGGCAGCCAUUUUCCUCUUCGUAGGACCCACGUAGCGAGGACCCGAUGCCAGGUCCAGUGGACAGACUUCAGACGUCUCUGUGUGUCCGGUCCUGUCCGGUCCUGUCUCUGGUUGCCAGGUUACAGACGCUGCUGCACCCGCACGUUUAAAAAUGUCUACACCUGAAACUCCACCACGUCUAAAGAAGCAAAAACGUUUGCGAAUGUACAGACUGGAGUGGGAAGAGUGGAACCCCUGGCAAUGGAUACAAGGCAAACUGUGUUUUCUGUUGCUCAUGGACUGGCUGAAGUAAGGCAGCAUCAGGAGACAAACAUGGAGGAAAUAUGAGAACAGAGAGAACCCAACCAGCAGGUCACAGUUUAUCAUCAUCUAAUCAUCUCCUGAAGUCCAUAUGGUCCCUCUCUAUCUCCCCACACAUCCACCAACCACUGGAACACAUCUCCAAAGUUCUGCUGGACCAGCUCAGCUUCCCCUCAGAAGAAGUGGCGCCACCUGCCAGAUGAAGGAGCCUUUUGAGAGGCAGCUGGCAUCGUGAUUGGACUGUACUUUGGUCUGUUCCAAUCCAGCUUCAGCUCCAGAGACGGCAGGCGGGACGAGUCAACGGAGGCCGGGUGGACGAAGGCAUGAAGCUGAGUACAAUCCAGAAAACAACAGAAGAGGAGUGCAGGGCCAGAACAACCAGAGUAGCACAUUAUGUCUCUUAGAAAACAUCAUAGUAUAGCCUUUGGUAUGAAAAAACACCAUCAUAUACAUCGUAUAUUGUACAAAUAACAAGUCAAAGGAAAGAGACAUACAUUGUAGAAUUGUAGUAAUUGUGGGCUGACUGAUUUACUGAUUAUCAGUAUUUUAUUUUUUACUGAUUUAUGGUAAUAAAUCAAUUUAAAAAUGGUG